CCACCGCUCAAUGAAGUCUUCCGCAUUCAUCACCUUUCAAACGGAAAUAAAACUUUAACCAAAAGAGCAUGGGCAGAUAUUUCCCGGAUCUGAACAGGAAUAGCUGGUGUCUGGACUCUAUGAAGAAUCUUCAUGUGCAGUGAUAGAAGAAUAAACACAUUUGAACCAAGUUCACCAUGGAGAGAGUGAGUGGGUUGGGGAAAAGGUGUUGUAUGUUUGAGGAGCGAGGAGAAGGUGUCAAAUAAUCAUCCAGGCAGACUUUUGUAGUGCACAGUGACCGGUGACCAGCAGCAUGUGUUUCCAUAGGCAUCUUCUCUCAGUACCCCAGAAGGUGAAUUGCCAGUGAGUCCUGCCAGGAUGCCCCUCGGUGACUGCACCACCCAGUAAAAAGACAUCCCUUAACUAUGGCAAAACAACAACAACAACGACGACAAAAAACAAAACAAAACAAAACAAAACCCUGCAUCAAUUUGAUAAAUAAUCCUCCCCGUUGA
rnacentral:lncRNA from 1 species